rnacentral:rRNA from 1 species
UACGUAGGGUGCAAGCGUUGUCCGGAAUUAUUGGGCGUAAAGAGCUCGUAGGCGGUCUGUCGCGUCUGCUGUGAAAAUCCGGGGCUCAACCCCGGACUUGCAGUGGGUACGGGCAGACUAGAGUGUGGUAGGGGAGACUGGAAUUCCUGGUGUAGCGGUGAAAUGCGCAGAUAUCAGGAAGAACACCUAUGGCGAAGGCAGCUCUCUGGGACGGUACUGACGCUGAGACGCGAAAGCGUGGGGAGCGAACAGG